GUGUCAGCCGCCGCGGUAAUACGGAGGGGGCGAACGUUGUUCGGAAUUACUGGGCGUAAAGGGUGCGUAGGCGGUGCGGCAAGUCCGGUGUGAAAUUCCCUCGCUCAACGAGGGGGCUGCAUUGGAAACUGCCGCGCUCGAGGAUGGGAGAGGCAGGUGGAAUUCCUGGUGUAGCGGUGGAAUGCGUAGAUAUCAGGAAGAACACUCGUGGCGAAGGCGGCCUGCUGGCCCAUUUCUGACGCUGAAGCACGAAAGCCAGGGGAGCGAACGGGAUUAGAUACCCCGGUAGUCCUGGCCGUAAACGGUGAACACUAGGCGUCGGGGGUAUCGACCCCCUCGGUGCCGGAGCUAACGCGUUAAGUGUUCCGCCUGGGGAGUACGACCGCAAGGUUGAAACUCAAAUGAAUUGACGGGG
rnacentral:rRNA from 1 species